AGCCCGCUCCUGGUUCAGGGCGGUGGAAAAUUACUUUAUUUUAAACUCACUUCCGCAGGGUUGAAAAAACCAAAACAACCCCCUUCUUCUCCUGCAGUCAAAGGGGGGUUCAGAAAUCUUAGAUGUUGAAUUUUAGUUCUCUCAGAAUUUAAUUUUCAAGCUUUAGUAUAAUUUGUCUUUGCUUUCUUCACGUAACAAAAGAACGGAAGGCGACUUCCUGUUUAGACCUUUCCGUUCCGAGUCCCAAUUAAAUUCAAUUUCAAGUUCAAGUCCAAUGUUAUUUAUUUAUUCACCAAUCUUAAAAGUAGUUCAGCUCUUCCAGGAUCAGGUACUCACGGAUAGAUGUUUUAGAUGCCAAAUUGUCCAGGAAAAAGGCAGCGCUCUCCGAAAACGGCAGUGCGGCUUUGCUGCACGGAGGAAGCAGUCGACUCACAGCACCACGCACCCCCCACUCCGGAGCCCGUUACCGGGCUCCUGUACAAGGGGAGAGAGCGCUCUCGGUGCCCGCCGAGUCCCACGUCCACAGGCUUCUUCCGCCUGUGGUUUUUAAGGGUCCCCGCUGCGCCGUAGCGGCAGGACCCAAGCCUCCGUGCAGCGGGUUCCCUUCAGUUCGAAGGGAAUUCCGCCAUUUUCCGGAGGCGCCACCCCGGAAGU
rnacentral:lncRNA from 1 species